GUGUUCAUAUGAGGAUGUGUUUUGGAACUUAAUAUAGCAUUAGACAUGACAAACUUAUAACACCUGUGAAUCAUGACACAGACAGACAAUCACUGGAGCUCGUUUUCUGUAGCCUAUGGCUGGUCUGUGUGCCUGGCAUUUUCACAAACAUUAGUCCUGGAAAUUGGAUACUCUCUUCUUGGACAGACUCAUAGAACUUAUGCAUGGAGACAGGGAUGAAUGAAAUAAUUUGAGCAAACAGUAGGAUUUUGUAAAACAACAGUUCAUGUGUGCAGGGACUUUUGUGUGUUUUGUGGUCACUUGUCACAGUAUCCUGCUCUGGAUGUAUUAUUUAACGUACUCCCAUCACUCUCCGCUUCAAUAUUUCUUCUCAUUAGAACAGUGCAUGUGUGUUAAGACCUGCAGUGGUUAUGGUACUGCAGUCUUCUAUUCCUUUCCCAAUAGCUGAGCAUAAGUGAUUAUAACUGCAGUUAGGAGGUAGAGGAAUAGUGUAGAUGAUAG